ensembl:rRNA 5S_rRNA 5S ribosomal RNA
GUCUCCGGACAUAUCAGCCUGAAGGCGCUAGAUCUUGUCUGCUCUCAGAAGUUAAGCAGGGUCGGGCCUGGUUAGUAUCUUGGAUGGGAGACCACCUGGGAAUCCCGGGUGCUCGAGGCU